UUUACCAUUGUAUUUCGACGAAUAUAAGAUUUCGUGGCUCAAAAUGAAGCCUCCCACACGUUCUGUGGCUGAAAUUCAAUAUCCCUCUUGACUCCAUUCUUUUAUUUAAAGAAACUCACUUCCUCCUAUAACCAAAGCCAACGUUAUUCAAAUUGGCUUUGGACCGUACGUGGACUAGUCGAGCUUAAUUCUACGUUCAACUCAGGUCCAUAAGCUCAUUCAUUUCUAGCAAUCCUUGCCCUAUUUACACCUUCCACCACACUAUAAUAUGAGCUCAAUUUCCGCAAUACAAAUCUACUUCAGCUCGAUCUAUCGCCUAACUUUCAAGUCAUAAUGGGUGGCUUAUAUAUAUGUUUCGGUGGUGCGCCGUUUUGUUUUCGAAAACCCUAAGGUACACAAAAUUAAGGUGGGGCCCUUUGACUUGAAGAGGCAAAACAUUAAGGUAGCUGUCUAUUUCAGCAAAAGCAAGUUGGAGCUUCCUUUUCAUCAUGAUUCCAACUGCACCGCUAGGAAAGGGCUCAACUACACGUGACUAAAUUCCAAAUGGUCCACUUUAAUCACUUUUUUCUUUAAAAAAAAUAAAAUAAAAUAUAAAAUACUUCUUCUCCCUAUUUCCACAAUACACUUUAAAAUAAUUUAUUUGUCACCUAUUACUUUUUAUGAAAUAAAUUAUUUUAUAUAGGGAUCGGUAAGUUAGGGAUUACAUGCUAAUCAUGUUUAAGAGAUCAGUUAACACUAAUUAAUUAUUAGUUUAAAAGAGGGAUUCAAGUGAAUUAAAAAAGAGUUACGAAGAAAAACAAUUUGGCCUGUACUUUGUCUCUUAAUUGGGUCGGUCCAGAACGGGAUUAGUCUGAAUAUGGUACGGGUUUAAAGGUGCUUCCUACAGUUAGGGCUUACUCAAAGACCUGGUGCUUGACCAAAAGAAGAGUUUUGAAGAAAAACAAGGCACAAAUCUUUGUAGGUGGUGUCCAUAUGUUGAUUUCCGCACGUGGAUUGAAGAGAUGGAUAAUCCCCACGUUGCAAUUCUCUCUACCAAUCAUCAGCUCUAUGGACUAACAGACUUUGAUGACUUGGAGAGAUCACACAGCCACAAGCUAUGAAUUUUGAUUUCUUUUUCCUUUUUUUUUUUUGGGGGGGGGGCGACACAAAAGGGUACUACGUAUAGCUUGCGGCUCAUCUCUUCUUUGUCUUACGGCGAAUCAGAUUCUUGGAUGAGAAAAUUCCACAUUUUUUUAUAUUUUUUUAUGUAUACAAAUUAAAAUUUGUUCUAGCAAUUCAUAAACAUAUAUAACUCAAAAUUAAAGAGCAUAUAUAACUCACUCACCUAUUUCCCCACUU